rnacentral:lncRNA from 1 species
ACAGGUGUCACCGGUCCACAUGUCCACAGCUGUCACCGGUCCACAUGUCAACAGGUGUCACCGGUCCACAUGUCCACAGGUGUCACCGGUCCACAUGUCAACAUGUCCACAGAUGUCACCGGUCAACAUGUCCACAGCUGUCACCGGUCCACAUGUCAACAGGUGUCACCGGUCCACAUGUCAACAUGUCCACAGGUGUCACCGGUCCACAUGUCCACAGAUGUCACCGGUCAACAUGUCCACAGAUGUCACCAGUCCACAUGUCAACAUGUCCACAUAUGUCACCGGUCAACAUGUCCACAGCUGUCACCGGUCAACAUGUCCACAGAUGUCACCAGUCCACAUGUCAACAUGUCCACAUAUGUCACCGGUCAACAUGUCCACAGCUGUCACCGGUCCACAUGUCCACAGAUGUCACCGGUCAACAUGUCAACAGAUGUCACCGGUCCACAUGUCAACAUGUCCACAGAUGUCACCGGUCAACAUGUCCACAGCUGUCACCGGUCCACAUGUCCACAGCUGUCACCGGUCCACAUGUCCACAGCUGUCACCGGUCCACAUGUCAACAUGUCCACAUAUGUCACCGGUCCACAUGUCCACAGCUGUCACCGGUCCACAUGUCCGCAGGUGUCACCGGUCAACAUGUCCACAGCUGUCACCGGUCCACAGCUGUCACCGGUCCACAUGUCCGCAGGUGUCACCGUCCUACCUGACCGGUACAGACCCUCUGACCAGUCGUUCAUCUCCACCUGUCCCACAUGUCUGAUACACGGCUGGUCCCCGCGUGUUGAUCCGUUCGGUGCGGUUGAACUUUUACCUGGAAGAGGCGGGACCUAUUUCCUUCCUCCAAUCACACAUCUGCAUGGCCUGACCACACCAAUGAGAAUCAAGCACCGACAAAAACAUUCCGACAGAAACAUUUUUCACAAUAAAGGAUUUAUAUAUAUAGAUAAGACGACAGAAACAAGACAGAGAGACAGAGACAGAGAGACAGACAGCAUGUUGAGGGUAUCAGUCAGAACAGCUCAAUGUAUAAUGUAUACUGUAGGAAUUUUAAGGAAUAUGUUAUUUAUUGUUGUAAUAUAUUUUACUUUGAAAAUCAUCUGUUGA